UACGUAGGGUGCGAGCGUUAAUCGGAAUUACUGGGCGUAAAGCGUGCGCAGGCGGUUCGUGAUGUCUGAUGUGAAAGCCCCGGGCUCAACCGGGGAAUUGCAUUGGAAACUAGCGGGCUGGAGUGUGGCAGAGGGGGGUGGAAUUCCACGUGUAGCAGUGAAAUGCGUAGAGAUGUGGAGGAACACCAGUGGCGAAGGCGACUCUUUGGCCUGUAACUGACGCUGAGGCGCGAAAGCGUGGGGAGCAAACAGG
rnacentral:rRNA from 1 species